rnacentral:rRNA from 1 species
GAUGGACGCUGGCGGCGUGCCUAAUACAUGCAAGUCGAGCGAAUGGAUUAAGAGCUUGCUCUUAUGAAGUUAGCGGCGGACGGGUGAGUAACACGUGGGUAACCUGCCCAUAAGACUGGGAUAACUCCGGGAAACCGGGGCUAAUACCGGAUAACAUUUUGAACCGCAUGGUUCGAAAUUGAAAGGCGGCUUCGGCUGUCACUUAUGGAUUGACCCGCGUCGCAUUAGCUAGUUGGUGAGGUAACGGCUCACCAAGGCAACGAUGCGUAGCCGACCUGGGAGGGUGAUCGGCCACACUGGGACUGAGACACGGCCCAGACUCCUACGGGAGGCAGCAGUAGGGAAUCUUCCGCAAUGGACGAAAGUCUGACGGAGCAACGCCGCGUGAGUGAUGAAGGCUUUCGGGUCGUAAAACUCUGUUGUUAGGGAAGAACAAGUGCUAGUUGAAUAAGCUGGCACCUUGACGGUACCUAACCAGAAAGCCACGGCUAACUACGUGCCAGCAGCCGCGGUAA